rnacentral:rRNA from 1 species
GACGAACGCUGGGGCGUGCUUAACACAUGCAAGUCGAACGGAAAGGCCCUGCUUUUGUGGGGUGCUCGAGUGGCGAACGGGUGAGUAACACGUGAGUAACCUGCCCUUGACUUUGGGAUAACUUCAGGAAACUGGGGCUAAUACCGGAUAGGAGCUCCUGCUGCAUGGUGGGGGUUGGAAAGUUUCGGCGGUUGGGGAUGGACUCGCGGCUUAUCAGCUUGUUGGUGGGGUAGUGGCUUACCAAGGCUUUGACAGGUAGCCGGCCUGAGAGGGUGACCGGCCACAUUGGGACUGAGAUACGGCCCAGACUCCUACGGGAGGCAGCAGUGGGGAAUAUUGCACAAUGGGCGGAAGCCUGAUGCAGCAACGCCGCGUGCGGGAUGACGGCCUUCGGGUUGUAAACCGCUUUCGCCUGUGACGAAGCGUGAGUGACGGUAAUGGGUAAAGAAGCACCGGCUAACUACGUG